CUUGUCGGGUAAGUUCCGACCCGCACGAAAGGUGUAACGAUUUGGGCACUGUCUCAACCAGAGACUCGGUGAAAUUAUAGUACCUGUGAAGAUGCAGGUUACCCGCGACAGGACGGAAAGACCCCGUGGAGCUUUACUGUAGCCUGAUAUUGAAUUUUGGUACAGUUUGUACAGGAUAGGCGGGAGCCAUUGAAACCGGAGCGCUAGCUUCGGUGGAGGCGCUGGUGGGAUACCGCCCUGACUGUAUUGAAAUUCUAACCUACGGGUCUCAUCGACCCGGGAGACAGUGUCAGGUGGGCAGUUUGACUGGGGCGGUCGCCUCCUAAAGUGUAACGGAGGCGCCCAAAGGUUCCCUCAGAAUGGUUGGAAAUCAUUCGUAGAGUGCAAAGGCAUAAGGGAGCUUGACUGCGAGACCUACAAGUCGAGCAGGGACGAAAGUCGGGCUUAGUGAUCCGGUGGUUCCGCAUGGAAGGGCCAUCGCUCAACGGAUAAAAGCUACCCCGGGGAUAACAGGCUUAUCUCCCCCAAGAGUCCACAUCGACGGGGAGGUUUGGCACCUCGAUGUCGGCUCAUCGCAUCCUGGGGCUGUAGUCGGUCCCAAGGGUUGGGCUGUUCGCCCAUUAAAGCGGUACGCGAGCUGGGUUCAGAACGUCGUGAGACAGUUCGGUCCCUAUCCGUCGUGGGCGCAGGAAAUUUGAGAGGAGCUGUCCUUAGUACGAGAGGACCGGGAUGGACGCACCGCUGGUGUACCAGUUGUUCUGCCAAGGGCAUAGCUGGGUAGCUAUGUGCGGAAGGGAUAAGUGCUGAAAGCAUCUAAGCAUGAAGCCCCCCUCAAGAUGAGAUUUCCCAUAGCGUAAGCUAGUAAGAUCCCUGAAAGAUGAUCAGGUUGAUAGGUUCGAGGUGGAAGCAUGGUGACAUGUGGAGCUGACGAAUACUAAUAGAUCGAGGACUUAACCAU
rnacentral:rRNA from 1 species